rnacentral:rRNA from 1 species
AUUGAACGCUGGCGGCAUGCUUUACACAUGCAAGUCGGACGGCAGCACAGAGGAGCUUGCUUCUUGGGUGGCGAGUGGCGAACGGGUGAGUAACGCAUCGGAACGUACCGAGUAAUGGGGGAUAACUGUCCGAAAGGACAGCUAAUACCGCAUACGCCCUGAGGGGGAAAGCGGGGGAUCUUAGGACCUCGCGUUAUUCGAGCGGCCGAUGUCUGAUUAGCUGGUUGGCGGGGUAAAGGCCCACCAAGACGACGAUCAGUAGCGGGUCUGAGAGGAUGAUCCGCCACACUGGGACUGAGACACGGCCCAGACUCCUACGGGAGGCAGCAGUGAGGAAUUUUGGACAAUGGGCGCAAGCCUGAUCCAGCCAUGCCGCGUGCCUGAAGAAGGCCUUCGGGUUGUAAAGGACUUUUGUCAGGGAAGAAAAGGGGCAUGUUAAUACCGUGCU